rnacentral:rRNA from 1 species
CGGGAUGGACGCACCGCUGGUGCACCAGUUGUUCCGCCAGGAGCAUAGCUGGGUAGCUACGUGCGGAUGGGAUAAACGCUGAAAGCAUCUAAGCGUGAAGCCCUCCUCAAGAUGAGAUUUCCCAAUUAGUAAGACCCCUUGAAGACGACGAGGUUGAUAGGCCUGAGGUGGAAGUGCAGCAAUGUAUGGAGCUGACAGGUACUAAUCGGUCGAGGGCUUAUCCAAUUU